UAUGAUGUGUUUAUAAAGCCAAAGCUAUAGCUAUGAAUUCCUGCUAAGGUUCUGGUUUUCUGUCUCCACUCUUGGAUUUUAGUUUUGAUGUUUCAAUGGAUCAAUGGAGGGGCCUGAAGUUGAUGUGUAACAUCUGCAUUUUUGUCUCUUGGAGAUGAAGCUAAACCAAAAUCUCACUUGGGCACUAAGGCUGAGGUGAAGUGCAGAUAGAAGACAGUAGAGAAAUAAUAGCUUUAUAUCCUCAAGAAUGAGCCGAUGCGUGAUACAGGCAUCAGAAAAAGGUCUCUUCAUAAAAUGUCCGUGUAUAAAUGUAGACAUAUGCUUUAAGGAGAUUAAACUUGUGUAAUCUG